UUUGGACCAGGAGGGAUGAUGAUGAUGAAUCACAUGAUUCCUUUGACAAGACAAGAGAGAAUGGAAAGGACAAACAGAUGACAUGCUGGUCAGAAUGAGACUGACAGAUGAAAAGCGUAAACAAGAACAAUGAGAUGGUUUGUAUUUAAAGUUGCGAAGAGGCAUUGACGGAUAUGGACCAUAAGUAUAUUAGGAUGCACCCGUCUGUGUCCUGACUAAGACCGGAGUGAGUGGCUCUGAAAAGGGAUAGGAUGACGAGGAUGGGCCAUACAGACUCUCAACAGUUGUACACCAGGGAGCCAUCACUGAACUUUACUUUAUCACACAUAUGCUUCAGCCACCCGGCUCCAUCAAGUCUUAUGGUACUGAUGGGACUCCAGUAUGGCAAUAGACGCCAACACAAGUAACGACAAACACUGCCGUAGAAAACUUUGAGUGGCACAGAUGUGAUGACCGAACAGAUCUACCUGCACGGUCCACUAAUGGCAUGCAGAGAAUACCCCAUGCUUCUCAAUCCCUACGCUCAACGUUUGGGGGCUGAGAGGGGAGGGGCAUCGACACCAGCGAUGAGGGACCAGUUAGAAUGCACCAUGCAGCGACUGACCGCUCUUGUAAGGACGAGCUUGCCACCUUACCAUCUGUAUUUCUGCAACCAGGUCUCGGAUCUUUGUCAGUAAUGGUCUCAUUGGUCGUGACAGUGACCCACUUUUGGCUUCAAAAUUAUUUGGAUUUUUAGCAUAUACUCUAUGGAAAUUGCAUAGAGGUAAAUUUUCUUAUACCACUUUGGCUUCAAAAUCAUCCUAAACAACAUGCCUGGUGACAAGCCAGGUGUCUAUACUCUACAUAGCUAAAGGCUUUACUGUGCCUGAAUAGGGGAUGGACCCUUCUUGAACUUAAAUACUAGUAUUUUCUAAAUUCUAAAUAUUUCAGGGAAAUGUGGACAAAAGGGAUUAACAGUGCAGGAGAGAAUGGAUUGGACAAAAAGAUGACAUGUUGGUCAGAAUGAGGUCAACAGAUAAAAACCAAACCAAGAACCAUGAGAUGAGAAAUGUGGAUGAGUAGGGAUGAUGGCUUGCAUGAUUACUUUGAUGUUACAUGAGAGAAUGGAUUGGACAAACAGAUGACAUGCUGGUCAAAAUGAGGUUGACAGAAAGAACCAUCAGAUGGGAAAUGAAGACGAAGAGAGAUGAUGGUUCACAUGAUUCAUUUGAUGAUAAAGAUGAGAACAGAAUGGACAAACAGAUGACAUGGUCAGAAUGAGGCUGACAGAUGAAAAGCAUUAAACAAUGAGAUGGGAAAUGAAGACGAAGAGAGAUGAUGGUUCACAUGAUUCAUUUGAUGAUAAAGAAGAGAAAAGAAUGGACAAACAGAUGAUGACAAACUUUCCUGUAAACUUUGGUGACUUUAGGUCAGAUACUUUUGGAGCUACACCUGACACAACAUUAAAAUGACCAAUUUUUAAAUAAGUCAGGGGCCAUAACUCCUACACGACUGAAUAAAUCCGGACCCAAAACCCCAGGUACACUACACAUGCAGACCAUUUUAAAGUUUUGUG
rnacentral:lncRNA from 1 species